GUGACCACUGUGCUUAUACCGCACCAUGAGAUUGUACAUCAUACUUUGACACUUUUGGAUGAUGGUACAGGUACUGUGGUGCCAAUGGCUGGUGACCCAGUAUUUUCUAGGUCAGAGUAUGGUGUGAGCAACUAGUGGAUGCCAGAAGCGGAGGAGCACGAUCAGGACUAUGCUUACGACGCACCGUGAGAUUAUAUAUCAUACUUUGAUAUUUUUGGGUAUAACUGUGGACUGUAUAUUUUUUUUUUGAGAUUAUAUUAUAUGUCAUGGAUGAAUGUAACAGAAUAACUUGGUUAUUGUUAUUAUAUUAUCAUUAGACGUUUCUCCAUUUUA